rnacentral:rRNA from 1 species
CAGGCUUAACACAUGCAAGUCGAGGGGCAGCAUGGUCUUAGCUUGCUAAGGCCGAUGGCGACCGGCGCACGGGUGAGUAACACGUAUCCAACCUGCCGUCUACUCUUGGACAGCCUUCUGAAAGGAAGAUUAAUACAAGAUGGCAUCAUGAGUCCGCAUGUUCACAUGAUUAAAGGUAUUCCGGUAGACGAUGGGGAUGCGUUCCAUUAGAUAGUAGGCGGGGUAACGGCCCACCUAGUCUUCGAUGGAUAGGGGUUCUGAGAGGAAGGUCCCCCACAUUGGAACUGAGACACGGUCCAAACUCCUACGGGAGGCAGCAGUGAGGAAUAUUGGUCAAUGGGCGAGAGCCUGAACCAGCCAAGUAGCGUGAAGGAUGACUGCCCUAUGGGUUGUAAACUUCUUUUAUAAAGGAAUAAAGUCGGGUAUGGAUACCCGUUUGCAUGUACUUUAUGAAUAAGGAUCGGCUAACUCCGUGCCAGCAGCCGCGGUAAUACGGAGGAUCCGAGCGUUAUCCGGAUUUAUUGGGUUUAAAGGGAGCGUAGAUGGAUGUUUAAGUCAGUUGUGAAAGUUUGCGGCUCAACCGUAAAAUUGCAGUUGAUAUUGGAUAUCUUGAGUGCAGUUGAGGCAGGCGGAAUUCGUGGUGUAGCGGUGAAAUGCUUAGAUAUCACGAAGAACUCCGAUUGCGAAGGCAGCCUGCUAAGCUGCAACUGACAUUGAGGCUCGAAAGUGUGGGUAUCAAACAGGAUUAGAUACCCUGGUAGUCCACACGGUAAACGAUGAAUACUCGCUGUUUGCGAUAUACUGCAAGCGGCCAAGCGAAAGCGUUAAGUAUUCCACCUGGGGAGUACGCCGGCAACGGUGAAACUCAAAGGAAUUGACGGGGGCCCGCACAAGCGGAGGAACAUGUGGUUUAAUUCGAUGAUACGCGAGGAACCUUACCCGGGCUUAAAUUGCAGAUGAAUUACGGUGAAAGCCGUAAGCCGCAAGGCAUCUGUGAAGGUGCUGCAUGGUUGUCGUCAGCUCGUGCCGUGAGGUGUCGGCUUAAGUGCCAUAACGAGCGCAACCCUUGUUGUCAGUUACUAACAGGUUCCGCUGAGGACUCUGACAAGACUGCCAUCGUAAGAUGUGAGGAAGGUGGGGAUGACGUCAAAUCAGCACGGCCCUUACGUCCGGGGCUACACACGUGUUACAAUGGGGGGUACAGAGGGCCGCUACCACGCGAGUGGAUGCCAAUCCCCAAAACCUCUCUCAGUUCGGACUGGAGUCUGCAACCCGACUCCACGAAGCUGGAUUCGCUAGUAAUCGCGCAUCAGCCACGGCGCGGUGAAUACGUUCCCGGGCCUUGUACACACCGCCCGUCAAGCCAUGGGAGCCGGGGGUACCUGAAGUGCGUAACCGCGAGGAGCGCCCUAGGGUAAAACUGGUGACUGGG